CCCCCCCCCCAAACCACCCAUGUGGUUUCUGGAUUUCCUGUUCAGUUGUAGCAAAACUUCCCUGGACCCAGGAAUUCCACCUGUGGCUUUUUAAAAAGUGUGGAUACCCAGAUCUUGGAGAAAAACUGGGACCAGCCUGAAAUUUGCCUAAAGCCUCACGGAUGAUUCCCAUUUUGUAGUCCAUAGGUCCAUCUUAACAAUAACUAAUUCCUAACCCGACCCCAGUGUUUUCAUAGUAUUGUGUCCUGGAGACUCAGUUUCCCCAUCUCUAGCACUACUUCCGUUUCCCUUUAAGGGAGGAUGGUUUUCAUCAGAAGAAAAUCCUUUGUUGGUGGAAUCCAAGGGUUUUGAGCGAGCACUACUGAACAGCUCUCGCAUUUUAUAUGAUCUUCCUUAAGCACUACUGAAUACAUGCUCUUUAAAAAAAAAAAGU
rnacentral:lncRNA from 1 species